AAUAUUUACUCAUGCCAAUAAUUUGGAUAUUUUAUCUCAUUUACUAUUUCAUAAUUUGAAUUGAUAAUCUCAUACUUUUCUUAAUUUGAAUUUAUUAUCUCUUAUUUCUUAUUUCAGUGGUUACAUCUCAAACUUUAAAUUGUUAUCUUCAUUUCAUUUUUCUAUAUCGUUAUUCAAAUUUAACAUAUCUUAUUUUUGACUUUCUAUGUGUUUAUUUUGUUUAAUUUUUUUAAUCAUAAUUUGCCACACCCUGCUGCGGUAUAUGACCAGCAGUUGGUGCUAAUUUAGCAUUAACUGUGAUCCAUGCGCAACCUUGUGUGCAGCAGUGACGCCCGCGAGCACGAGAAUAAAGAGGGGAAAUCCACAGUCUCAUAUUUGAACUGGAGCCCAGAGGAUCUUUGACAAAGGGUGUACUUCCCCUUUAAGCGACCUGCUGAGUAAAGAUCGUCAGACAGUGAGAGGAGGAGUCGCUCGGCCUCAGCAGCUCAGACCUGCGGGCGCGAUGGACUGAUCCACACCGAUGUCCAGACUCGUUUGCCAUGGAAACAGAUAUGAUUCCGAAAUUCUCCUCAAAAGAUGAGGAAAUCAACUUCUGGAAGUCUCUUUCCCUCAAGUACAAGAGAACCUGCCAGGAGGCGCAGGAGGAGCUGCUGGAGUUCCAGGAGGGCAGCAGGGAGCUGGAGGCCGAGCUGGAGGCCCAGCUGGGCCAGGCCGAGCAUCGCCUGAAGGACCUGCAGUCCGAGAACCACCGCGUCAAGAGCGAGGUGGACACGCUCAAGGAGAGGCUGGAGCAGCAGUACUCCCAGAGCUACAAGCAGAUCUCCAUGUUGGAGGACGACCUGGGACAAACGCGCAGCAUCAAGGAGCAGCUCCACAAGUACGUCCGAGAGCUGGAGCAGUCCAACGACGACUUGGAGAGAGCCAAGAGGGCGACCAUCAUGUCCCUGGAGAUGUUCGAGCAGCGUCUGAACCAGGCCAUCGAGAGGAACGCCUUCCUGGAGAGCGAGCUGGACGAGAAGGAGUCUCUGCUGGUGUCCGUGCAGCGGUUGAAGGACGAGGCCAGAGACUUGCGGCAGGAGCUGGCCGUGAGGGAGCGGCAGGCAGAUGUCACCAGGAAGUCGGCCCCGAGUUCGCCCACACGGGAGGAUGUGAAGAUGGACACUGCGGUGCAGCCCUCGCUCUCCCUCCCCGCCACCCCACUGAGCAAAGGUCUGGAUAACGCCUUCGCCGACCCAACAGUUCUACCAAACGGCUUUGGCAGCAACUCGCCGUUGACUCCGUCUGCCAGAAUAUCGGCCCUCAACAUCGUCAGCGAUCUUCUCCGGAAAGUUGGGGCGCUGGAGUCCAAACUCGCCGCCUGCAGGAAUUUCGCCAAGGACCAGAAGGCCAGGAAGGCGUUCGCUCUGGACAACAGCAACGCGCUCAACGCAAACUACUCGCAGUCGCUCCACACGUCGUAUUUUGACAAAGCGUGAGUGAAAAAGCGAAACCUCUCCUCAAGUGCUCAGUGAGGGAUGAUUCACGACGCUCUCUUCUCAGAUGCGUCUGCCAGGUCGGGGAAUGGGCUGCAGCCCGGCGCCCUGACGGCCGUCACUGUCCCUCCCGCCGCCUCCUCCCCGGGCUUAGUGCCCCUCGCUGUGUGACGGUGACCCUCCCUCCCCCUCGACCCCCAAGACCAA